AAACAAUUAGAAACUUUAUUUGUCUGUGUCAGUAAUAUGUACCAUUUAUAAGGAAGAGCACAAUUAGUGCAUUUCCCGCCCCCCCCCCAAGCUGUGCACAAUACACACAAAAUAAAAUAAUUUUACACAACUAUAAUAAUAACAAUCCUGAACAACCAGAAUCAUAGUUUCCUAGAACAUGAAAAUUUAAAAAGCAAACAAACCAAAAAGCUUUCAAAUUGAAAUCGACCAAUGCAAGAAUUUCUUAAAGUUCUCUGUGAAAAUUUGCUACAGGAUUAUUGACAUUCCUAAUACAGCUAAAAAAUGAGUGCAAAAAUUUUUCUAAUGUUUAAACAACUUAUAUUCCUUGAAUAUAUUUACUUGGUGCUUCUAGGCUAGCUUUCCAUUUAGCAAUUCUCAAAAAAAAAAAAAAUAAGGAUGGGAAGGAUGGGUUAGAAUGACAAAGAAUUGUAAAGUGUGGGCCAUAGAAAAGUUCCAUUGCCAACAAAGAUAAAAGAUGGGAUACACUGGGCUUUCUCAGUGAUCUGGAUCACCAACAUGAUUGCCCUUCUUGGUUUAAAAUGGAGAGAUAUAUUUAUCUGCAAGUCGGUCAAAGAUAAAGAGGGUGGUUUUCCAAACAUAUGCCUUAUGCUCUCUUAGUUAAAGAAAUUCUUGGGUAUAAAUACAAUUUGGACAAUUGCUUUGAUACAGUUUCAGUGUGUUUAUGUUAAAAGAGUUUCAUAAUUGUUUUUUCUUGCAAGAUAAAAAUCUUUCCAUAUGGCUUUCUUCACUUUUACUCAUGAAAAUAGUAAUCACAUAAACUGUAACCCUUCUGAGGGCAGGGAUCUAGACUGUUUUGUUCAUGGCUUAGUCCCCAGAAAGUAUCAUACUACCUGGCACAUUAAGUGGGUAACCAGCAUUUAAUUACUCAUUCAGUCACCAAAUGUUUAUUAAAUGAGGAAGGAUCAUGGUUACUGAGUGACAGAAGAAAAAAUAAGUCUCAACAGCUUUAAUUUAUUAAGUAUUUUUGAAUCAAUACAGAGGGCUAGGAAUGUCUCCAGCCUGGGAUUCCUUAUAGACACAGAAGUCUCCGAGAGGUGACCAAAGUCAUUCUAUUAUUUUUCUCAUUAGUGGACUCACUACUUUGGAAUGUUGGGUUUAUCCAUGUUCUUUGGUAUUUUAACAUAGAAACAGCUAUUCUUUUUAAAGGGUUAAAAAUAUCCCAGUCCAAUCCUCCUGGGAGGUACUAGUCUUAUUUAAUUGCCUUCUCUUUCAGCAUAAGUAGAGGAGACAACACUUUUAAAGGCCCGUUGGUCACCCUGGCUUCUUUCUUACUCAGCAACUACUGAUAUAAUCAAAGAGGACUAGACUGGACAGUGAAAGAAACAGGGCUCAAAAUAGCCUUUUAAGUAAAAAAAUAAAAUGAACAAACCAGCACUAUCUACCAUCUGUGCCAGACAGUGCAGAUGUGAAAUAAAUACUUUGCAGGGAGGGGUGUUGUGGAAAGGGUGGCUCUGAAAGCCUAGGCACAUCCAACAUAUCAACGUCUCUAUAAGGCCUUUCUCCUUGGCCUUCCUGAAUUAAUGGGUGAUUUUUAGAGGCCUCUGAUGUGUUCCACAUGGCUAAUUUUCCAUGAAGAUCUUUGUAGUUUGCCUGCUAUCCUCUCAAUAGCUUUAACUUCUCCCCACAUGACAGUUAUUGCUUCUUAGAAAUGAAUGUGCAGAACCGUGAACAAUAAUCCAUUUUCUCCUUUUAUCCCUAGUAAUUAAUCAAACUCAAUAACAGCACAAAAGUAACAACUCAGGUGAAAAGAAAACUCACUUAUGUCUUCAAUGUCCAAUCAACAUUGCCAAAUGGGAGAACAGUAUGUACUAUACUCUACUAUAUACAGAUACUCUUUGUUUUGUUUUAUUUGUUUUUCACCAUGCACUGUGUAACAGGUAUCACAACAACAUUUCCGAACGGCACAUGAAGAAGGAGCAAAUGUUCAGUCAUGACUGGAACAGGAUUGUGCAAGCCAUGGAUGCCUUUGAAAAUAAAACUGACAGACAAUCCCAAGCAACGGCAACAUGGGACUGAGACACAUGUUAAUGCAAAUGGAAAACGAUGAUGUGCUUUUUGAAUGGGGUUAUUCUUACUGUUUGCAUAGGGGAUGGCAGGUGGACAGGAGGAACAGGGUUGGGAUGGGGCACCUGGGGGCUUAGCUGGGCUGAAUGCUGGAAGAAGGACCUUGCCAAUCACAGUCCAGAGCUAAAGAGAUAAGAAAGAAAGGAUUUUGCACGUUCCUGGGAAUCUAGGCACGUUUUCCUUGUACCUGUUAAACGAGACUGCCAGGUAUCACAUGUUUAAAUAUCAGACUAUUUCUAGAACCAUCGGAUUUCCUGGCUCCAUUCCACUUUUAUGCUUCUUCUUGGAGGCAGCUUCACCUCCACUCACAUUCCGGAGAUAAGCAUGAACUUUGGUAAUACGAUGAAGACAUGCUUCUUUCUUCUUCCAUGCCCAGAUUUUUUCUUAAUCCAAAAUAAGUUUUAAAGUGAUUGGGGGAGGUGAGGGGGAAUACUAAUGAUUUAAAUUUUUACCAAAACCCAUUUACAUUUGGAUGGUUUCACUUUCCACAAAGAAAAGCAACAACCCUGACUCUCCCAAAAAAACAAAACAAAACAAAAUAACAAAAAUAAAGCCAAACAUUAACUACCUCCCCAGCUCCACUGAAAACAAAACCAAAAACAAAACAAAUCAAAGCCUUAAGGAUUUAUCAACCUGGAGAGAGUGCAGCCCUUCUAGACUGAGCUGCAAAGAUGGCCCUGCCUCCAUGCCUUGUUGAACAUGAUGAUGCCCCUGGGAAUGGGAGGUGAUGGUUUUUUACUUCGGCCCUAGUACAGAGUAUGCUCUUGAAGCUGGAUUCCAUCAGCAGGAAUCACUAGGUACUUCUAAAUCACUGGAGAGUCAAUCUGAAGUCAGAUGCAUACUCCCUGAAUAUUAGUCUUUCAGCUCUCAAAUCUCCAGGCAGCCUCUAUUGAUUGAUCUGAGUUGGCAGAUGAGUUGGCAGGUCUCUACUUUGAGUUAGAUGACUUCAGAAAUGAUCACACAUUUCAUGUCAAAUUUCCAGGCCUCAAAUUCCUGUUCCCAGUGAUAUGAGUACCCACAGAUAAUUCACUGGUUUUGGAAAUCACUAGUGGGUAAAAAAGACCAAUUUGCAACUAGGCUCUCAUGCUCUGUUGAAAACUAUGUCACAAUAUCACAAUACUAGAUGCUGGGCUCAAGACAGCAAACAGAAAGCAGCAAGGGCAGUGACUGGAAGCUGGGAGAGAGGGUCAACAGCUGAAUCUCAGCCUGAUGGAGGCCACCAUUUAAUAAGUAAAUACAUGCACGGCUAUUUAGAUCCUGCAUCAGACAGGUCAUCAGAAAACAUGAAGCUAAAUGCAGUAAAGAAUUACUCUCUUGAACUCUUGAAAAUAUCAAAAACAUGAAGCUAAAUGCAGUAAAGAAUUAGUCUCUUGAACUCUUGAAAAUAUCAUUUUCUUAUAGAAAUGGUUUAAAAAUUUCUUUUUUAUUAUUUCUAAUUUUCCUUCAGAAAAUUGUGAGUUUUAACCUACAACACAUACACUCCAAGGUAAUGCCACUCUAAUGCUGUCUAGUUGAUCUGAAUAACUAACUGGUCAAUUAUCAGAUCCACCAAACUGUCUCUCUGGAGAUUAACUUCUGCCAGCAUAUUGGUUUCUGUUCAUUUUCACAAGAUUGACAGGCUCAUUACAGCAAUAUUAACAUCUUCCUUUGAGCACUCACACUGUGCAAUUGUAAUUUUGCAUAUGUUGAUGAGCAGGCAAUUACAUCAAAGAGUGAACACUGGGCUGAUGUGCAAGGCACUAUUUAAUUAUAAAAACAGUAUAGGAUUGAGCCCUGUCACUGAGUCUUCCAUUCCUUCUAUCUCGCCUGUUUCUAAUUUAUUUCUCUAUUUCUUCAUUUCUUCCUUGACUGUCUUCAUUCUUUGCUUUUUAUUUCUUUCUCCUUAAAUGACAGACCUUUUCUUAGAUGCCAUUUCUCUAUGUCUGCGCUUAAGACAAGAAUUUUUUUCCUCCUAGUUGUUGGUUAAUGUCUGCAAAUGUGAGAGCAUGUUAACAUGACAAACAACAAGGAAUUUGAAAUAAACUUAAAUGAAACA
rnacentral:lncRNA from 1 species